AUUGAACGCUGGCGGCAGGCCUAACACAUGCAAGUCGAGCGGAUGAAGGGAGCUUGCUCCUGGAUUCAGCGGCGGACGGGUGAGUAAUGCCUAGGAAUCUGCCUGGUAGUGGGGGAUAACGUCCGGAAACGGGCGCUAAUACCGCAUACGUCCUGAGGGAGAAAGUGGGGGAUCGUCGGACCUCGCGCUAUCAGAUGAGCCUAGGUCGGAUUAGCUAGUUGGUGGGGUAAAGGCCUACCAAGGCGACGAUCCGUAACUGGUCUGAGAGGAUGAUCAGUCACACUGGAACUGAGACACGGUCCAGACUCCUACGGGAGGCAGCAGUGGGGAAUAUUGGACAAUGGGCGAAAGCCUGAUCCAGCCAUGCCGCGUGUGUGAAGAAGGUCUUCGGAUUGUAAAGCACUUUAAGUUGGGAGGAAGGGCAGUAAGUUAAUACCUUGCUGUUUUGACGUUACCAACAGAAUAAGCACCGGCUAACUUCGUG
rnacentral:rRNA from 1 species